rnacentral:rRNA from 1 species
GCCUGAUCAGCCAUGCCGCGUGAGGGAUGAAGGCCUUCGGGUUGUAAACUGCUUUUGUACGGAACGAAAAAGAUCUCUCUAAUACACGAGGUGAAUGACGGUACCUUAAUAAUAAGCACCGGCUAACUACGUGCCAGAAGACGCGGUAAUACGUAUUGGUGCGAGCGUUAAUCGCAAUUACUGGGCGUAAAGCGUGCGCAGGCGGAUAUGUAAUACAGACGUGAAAUCCCCGGGCUCAACCUGAGGAACUGCCUUUGUGACUGCAUAGCUAGAUUGCGGCAAAGGGGGAUGGAAUUCCACGUGUAGCAGAGAAAUGCGUACAUAUGCGAAUGAACACCGAUGGCCAAAGCAAUCCCCUGGGCCUGCACUGACAGCUCAUGCACUAAAACGUGGGGAGCAAACAGGAUUAAAUACCCUGGUACUCCACGCCCUAAACGAUGUCCACUGGUUGUUGAGUCAUCACUGACUCCAUACCGCCUGUAACAGCACGAACUUGACAUCCUGGGGAGAACGACCUCACGGUUAAAACUCU